rnacentral:rRNA from 1 species
CCUACGGGUGGCAGCAGUGAGGAAUAUUGGUCAAUGGGCGCGAGCCUGAACCAGCCAAGUCACGUGAGGGAAGACGGUCCUAUGGAUUGUAAACCUCUUUUGUCGGGGAGCAAAAGACGCCACGCGUGGCGUUCCGAGAGUACCCGACGAACAAGCAUCGGCUAACUCCGUGCCAGCAGCCGCGGUAAUACGGAGGAUGCGAGCGUUAUCCGGAUUUAUUGGGUUUAAAGGGUGCGCAGGCGGAAGAUCAAGUCAGCGGUAAAAUUGAGAGGCUCAACCUCUUCGAGCCGUUGAAACUGGUGUUCUUGAGUGAGUGAGAAGUAUGCGGAAUGCGUGGUGUAGCGGUGAAAUGCAUAGAUAUCACGCAGAACUCCGAUUGCGAAGGCAGCAUACCGGCGCUCAACUGACGCUCAUGCACGAAAGUGUGGGUAUCGAACAGGAUUAGAUACCCGAGUAGUC